GUAAGGAAUAUUGGUCAAUGGACGAAAGUCUGAACCAGCCAUGCCGCGUGGAGGAUGAAGGUCCUCUGGAUUGUAAACUUCUUUUAUAUGGGACGAAAAUGGGGCUUUCUAGCUCAACUGACGGUACCAUACGAAUAAGCACCGGCUAACUCCGUGCCAGCAGCCGCGGUAAUACGGAGGGUGCAAGCGUUAUCCGGAAUCACUGGGUUUAAAGGGUACGUAGGCGGUUAAUUAAGUCAGUAGUGAAAGACUGUCGCUCAACGACGGAUGUGCUAUUGAGACUGGUUAACUUGAAUCAGGUUAGAGUUGGCGGAAUGGGUCAUGUAGCGGUGAAAUGCUUAGAUAUGACUUGGAACACCGAUAGCGAAGGCAGCUGACUGAGCCUUGAUUGACGCUGAGGUACGAAAGUGUGGGUAGCGAACAGGAUUAGAAACCCCGGUAGUCC
rnacentral:rRNA from 1 species